UUCGAUUUAUUUUACGGUUAAUGAUAUUUACCAAUGAAUACGUGGGAUUUUAGCCUAACAAGAAAGUGUUUAGUCUUUAACCAUAUUUACUAGUAUCUCUUAGAUAUCGGGUUUAUAGAUGGCGUCAGGAUGUACACAGGUUCAGGAAGAACUAUUAUCGAAAAUUCCUCACGAACCCCAAGACUGAAAAGCUCCUCCUGAUGAUCGCGAAUCUCAACCUGUUGCUGCCAGUGGAGACAGAGAACAGCGCAUGUCUGUUUGCUGAAAGGAAGCUUGAAAGCGCUAACAUUUCCUGAUUUUUCCCCAACAGUAACCUCGUCGCUUCCUAUAGAGGCGUUUUGUCUCUUUCUCCUGUUCAGUAUUUUUUCGAUAUACACACUGGUAUCAUACUUUUGCUUGUAAUUGAAAUCAACCCAAUGGCAAUUUGUAAGUAGCUAUUCGAGUAAUGAUACUAAGUAAAGAAUUUUCCGCCUACUAGUGCCCUUGAGUGGACGCUAAUAAGAAGCGCGAGUACAAGUAGUUUAUUUAUCCGAGACGUUACAGAAAAUAGGUAAUUCAUUUUAUAGUUUCCUUUCCACAACAUAUCUAUCAAACUAACCGACGCAUAACCAGAAAACAAAGGAAAUCAAAGAUAAAGAAGAAAAAUUCGUCAGUUCAGGUUAACGUCGAUGACGUAUUGAUUUUUUUACGGAAGUAACAAUGGCUGUUAGUGAAAAUUCCGUGUUGCAUUUGACGGAGAGUGAAAAAGUAAUGGUGAUCGGUAUUUGCCUGGGAUUGCUAAGCCUUACUAUCAUCGUUACUGUGUGUGUUGUUUCACCCUACUGCUGGCUUCAUAACUGCUUAUAUAAAGAAGAUAGGUUCGAUAAAAGAAAACGACAGAAAUUUGAAAAUUACGGAACUCCUGAAGAAACAACUCGAUUUAAACUCACAGUCGGACCUCAACACAGUCUUCAGGCAGGAAGGACAUUAAAGUGGACACCAGAGUUUGUUCAUUACGGAAGAAACCGGAAGUAUACAAAUGAUUCUACCUAUAGUAGCAUGUCAUCAGGUAGCAAGGAUGAUGCUACACUAUCGAUUUACAGCGAAAAGGCAUUGGACGGAUCCUCAGCUAACGGAGGAGAAAACGUUAACCAUGGUCAAAUCAUCUUUGGUGUCAAGUACGAAGCUGAAGGUGGCCAAAAUAGUGGACAACUUGUGCUUUUGAUAAAGGAAGUCCAGCAACUUCUGUCUCGGCCUUACGGUGGGAGUUGCGAUCCUUAUGUCCUGAUAAAAGUGUUAAAAGAAAAAGGUCGAAAACGUCGGUCGAAACGCCAGCAACCCCCACGAUACGAAUUCCAGACGAAGACAUGUAAAAAGACCCAACAUCCACUUUUCUGCGAAACGUUCGUAGCAAAUCUAACGUGGACGGAAAUAAAAGAGUACGCCUUGAAGUUAUGUGUGUUUGACGAAGAGCGAUUUGCUAACGACACUAAUUUGGGUGAGGUUCUCAUUCCAUUGAAAGAACUAAACAUCACAGAGAACGGUGAAGAGACUCUACACACCUUCGACCUUAAAGAAACGAAACAAGACAUUGGAGAAAUAUUAUUUGGACUCAGUUAUCUUCCAACAGCUGAGCGUCUAACUUUUCACAUUGUCAAGGCCAAUAAUCUACACUCAGUUACUGAAGAAGUCGAGCAUUUUGUACCAUACGUUCGAGUCUUGCUGAUUCAUAAUAGUAAACUUUUGAAGAAGAAGAAAACGAGCACUCGCCCAGGUACUACCUCUCCAUCCUUCAAUGAGUCUUUAACUUUCGAUGUCCCAUCUACUGAAAUGGAGAAUGUCGUUUUUAUUGUUGUUGUCAGUCACCGCGAUCCACAAAAUGGCAGCUUAUCCUCACCGGAGACUCCCACCAGUCCGUCGGGGUCCAUGAAACGUGAUCACCACGUGGGAAAAAUUUUGAUUGGCUCUUGUGCACGUGGCAGUGCUCAACACCAUUGGAAAGCCAUGAAGCAGUCACCAAGGAAACAAGUAACCCAAUGGCACACGCUGCGAUGAAGUGUUCCAAGCGGAAUGUGAGCCGUAUUCUUUCCAUUAUAUGUUCCUAUGUUAAUCUAAUGCUAAAGGUUGUGUAUUGACUAAUGUAGCGUGUUUGAUGUAUCCACAAACAUUUCAUAACUUGGACAAUUCAAAAUACAUUACAAGAUAUCAAAUUGCUAUGUGAAUUUCAAAACCGAAAGUAUACCCAUUAAAUUCCACUUCUAGAUGUUUCGAAGCUAAAUUAUAAAUUCCGAGAACUUUUGUGAUUGUAGUGUGUUUUGUCUUUCAUAAGGUAUGAAGUUCUCGAUAAAACUUUUGUGAUUGUAGUGUGUUUUAUCUUUCAUACAUCUUUAAACAGGUAUGAUCAUGAACUUUGAUCAUUACUGCUGGAAGUCUUUAAACAGGUAUGAUCAUGAACCAUGGUCAUUGCUGCUGGGACCGUCUUUAAACAGGUAUGAUCAUGACCCAUGGUCAUUGCUGCUGGAACCGUCUUUAAACAGGUAUGAUCAUGAACCAUGGUCACUGCUGCUGGAACCAUCUUUAAACUUAUACGCUACUGUUAUCAAGCUACAUAGAAUAUUCUGUUUCAGCGUUUCGAAUGAUCAAAGUUUUGUACCGUCUUCAAUACAUUAUAUUUUCAACUAUAAACAGUUUGUCAAAAGAUAAUGUCAGCACUACAACCCUUUCUACUAUGUUUAAGAUAUGUUGUCUAAAUGUUUUUCACCCUAUAAUCGCCUAAAUAAUAAAAUAACAGUAAGUAUAAAAUCGUAUUGAACGAAAAACAAUUCUGACGACUUACUUUUUGUAAUAGACUUCAUUUAGUUAAAGAAUUGAAUUUAAAAAUCACUCACGCUCUCAACUUUUUGACAGUUUUAUGAAGAGCAGGCUGAAGUGGAUCACAGUUUUCUUUAAAUCACAUAAUUUACAGAGAGAUUGGAAACGAAGGAGGAAUGCUAAAACUAAAACUUUAUAAAACAUAAAUUGAUCAUAUCUAAACGUUUCUUAAAGGCCAGAAUACAUUAACAAAUCAAUUAAGAAUUAUUUUGUAUAGAUUUCAAUUAGAAUGUUAUCUCUCUCUCUCACACACACACACAAAUGUGUUUUCUCAUUCAUUUGUUGGUGAGAAAAUUGACAAAACGUGGCUGAAAUGUUGUCACGUAACUUUGAUUACGCAUUAUAGCAACACUAAUACCAUCGUUGCCACGACUUACAUACUAGCAUUAAAUACUCGCACUCUGAUGCGGGGAUUCAAAGGCCCCAAAGUACCGAUGAAGCUCCUCGGAUAUCCUCAAUUAUUUAUAUAGCUACUUCAAGGGGGAUCCAUAUCAGAAAACAAACCCUGAUAAGACAAUCGCUCAUAGUAUCUGAGCAAGUUUGCCAGGUUUGGCCUCGCUAAUUUGUGGGUGGUGGAACGAACACAGUUUCAAACACGAUGCCCCAGGGAUCACGAAGGGGAUCCACGAACACACAAUUUGAUAACACACUCUGGUUCAGUGACCCUGAAAAUCUGCUCACUUUUGACCCCGUCAUGUGUAGGUGGCCUUUUCCAGUCUUGUUUUAGCCCACUUGGUACCCUCUUGACAGAGAAGUUACGCCAUAAAGAUAAGAACACCCUCCGCCUACCACCCAAGUUCGUCUGCCAAGUUUACUUCCGCUAGUUGUAAAAUUGUUUAAUUAGUUUGCAAAAAACAUAUUCACAAAGAAACAAUAUGAAUUAACAUAGGAUAAAGAUACCUUUAGUUUCUUCAAUUUUAAUAUUAGACUGUUAGCUAGCUUAAUGAUAUAUAGAUUUGACUAUUUUGCAAAAAUACUACAUACUUCCAAGCUAUAAUCGAGAUUGUUUUUUUUCUUAUAUUGUUAGAUUACUGUAGCUCUAAAAUGUAUAAAUUGUGUCUUUUACUUUAUAUAAUGAUGUCGGCUUGUUACCAAACAUAAGAAGUAAUAUAUAACUUUUAUACUUCCAAUAAUGUUGCAUUACUUCCACGUUACUAAAUGUAUAUAUCGUAAGUUAAUUAGUCAUACAAGAUUAUCAGCCAAAAUCAUACAUGAACUGUACUUUGAUUAGAAAUUUUGGAUUGUUGCUGCUACAUGUGAUGUGUGGAUUGUUCUUAAUAAUAUUAGAUUUUGACAUGCUACAUGAUGUAUAGACUGGAUUUAAUAAUAUUGUAUUGUUGCCACACUACAUGAUGUAUAGAUUGCAAUUGAUAAUAUCGGAUUGUUGCCACGCUACGUAAUGUAUAGAUUGUACUUAAUAAUAUUGUAUUGUUGCCACGCUACGUAAUGUAUAGAUUGCAAUUAAUGAUAUAGGAUUGUUGCCAUCGUAUAUGAUGUAUAGUAUAUACUUUCUUUGGUGAUUUUCGAUUGUUGUUGACCUUGGUAUGGAAUGGAUUGUAUUUUAUUUCCAAAUGUUGCAUUGUUACCGCGCUAGUUGUUUAUUUAUUGAUAUCGGAUUGUUGCCAUGGUACAUGAUGUAUACUUUGUAAGUUUUUAAUAAUGCUGGAUUAUUGUUACAAUAUUUCUUUUUCUUCUGUUCUGUAAGAUUAUUAUUAAUCAUAUGUAGUAACGAUUUUACCAUGUCAAAAGCAGCUCUUUCUUGACAAUAGUGUUUAUCACCAAAGUCAACAAUGUAAUUAGCUUAUGGAUAUUGUAUUUCAGAAAUCAGAUCACUACGGUGUAUUUUAAUUCUAACUCCCGUUUUCAGAAUAUUCGUAAUGUAUAUAUAUAUAACACCUCUAUUUGUGGAUGCGAAUGUAAUGCUUGUUUGAUCUCUAAUGUGAACUUAAUUAUUUAAAUCAAAUUCACUGGUUCAACAAAGAAAGGAGUAUGCGAUGUAACUCUAUAACUUAUGGUGAAAAGAUGACUAUGAUGAUGACAAUUGUGAUAAAGUCAACUGAUUAUCAUCGUUGGUAUCUUAUCCUUUUGGUACAAGGUUGCGAUAUUUACUCGAUAUUUGUCAAACUUGUAUUGAUUUAAUCUAUUCAUUAGGUCACGAGUUUCUGUAUUAACACUAACUUAAAUAUAUAUGUUUACUCGGAAAGUGUGUAAUGUAUUUUACCUGUAUGUGAACACCUUUUUUUAUGUUAUUAUUUCAGUAGUUAGAAUUCUUGAAUUAAUGAGUGAGAGGAAUAAUGUUUUUGCGAGAGAAUAUAAUGGAUUGCCUGUUAUACAUACACCUCGUAAUUAUGAUAAUAAAUGUAAAAUUGAAUGUAGUAACACCUAAUUAUUGAUAUACUUUGUUAUUGAUCCUGGGGUAUUACAGGAGUCAUGCUACGACGGUAA